CCCCUGAGAACUGUCCCCUCCGGCACCAGGGAAAAUGGGAUUUUUCCUCCUUGUAAUUUUGGCUGUAGCAGCUUUGGAAGGUGCCUGGUCCCAGGUGCAGCUGGUGGAGUCCGGAGGGGAUGUGAAAAAGCCCGGAGACUCUCUCCGCCUCUCCUGCAAAGCCUCCGGGUUCACCUUCAGCAGCUCUGCUAUGAGCUGGGUCCGACAGGCUCCUGGCAAGGGACUAGAAUGGGUCGCUUAUAUAGGCACUUCUGGGAGUCCUAUAUAUUACCCCGAUUCAGUGAAAGGCCGAUUCACCAUCUCCAGGGAUGAUUCCAAGAGUGAGCUGCAUCUGCAAAUGACCGGCCUGAAGCCCGAGGACACCGCCCGCUAUUACUGUGCGAGACACAGUGAAAGGAAACCGGUGCAGCUGGUGGAGUCCAGAGGGGAUGUGGAAAAGCCUGGAGAUUCUCUCCACCUCUCCUGCAAAGCCUCCAGUUUAACCUUCAGCAGCGCCUAUGAAUUGGCUCCGCUGGGCCUCCGGUGCACAGAUCCCUCGCUUCAUCUGUGA